rnacentral:rRNA from 1 species
CUUGCUUCUCUUGAGAGCGGCGGACGGGUGAGUAAUGCCUAGGAAUCUGCCUGGUAGUGGGGGAUAACGUUCGGAAACGGACGCUAAUACCGCAUACGUCCUACGGGAGAAAGCAGGGGACCUUCGGGCCUUGCGCUAUCAGAUGAGCCUAGGUCGGAUUAGCUAGUUGGUGGGGUAAUGGCUCACCAAGGCGACGAUCCGUAACUGGUCUGAGAGGGUGAUCAGUCACACUGGAACUGAGACACGGUCCAGACUCCUACGGGAGGCAGCAGUGGGGAAUAUUGGACAAUGGGCGAAAGCCUGAUCCAGCCAUGCCGCGUGUGUGAAGAAGGUCUUCGGAUUGUAAAGCACUUUAAGUUGGGAGGAAGGGUUGUAGAUUAAUACUCUGCAAUUUUGACGUUACCGACAGAAUAAGCACCGGCUAACUCUGUGCCAGCAGCCGCGGUAAUACAGAGGGUGCAAGCGUUAAUCGGAAUUACUGGGCGUAAAGCGCGCGUAGGUGGUUUGUUAAGUUGGAUGUGAAAUCCCCGGGCUCAACCUGGGAACUGCAUUCAAAACUGACUGACUAGAGUAUGGUAGAGGGUGGUGGAAUUUCCUGUGUAGCGGUGAAAUGCGUAGAUAUAGGAAGGAACACCAGUGGCGAAAGCGACCACCUGGACUAAUACUGACACUGAGGUGCGAAAGCGUGGGGAGCAAACAGGAUUAGAUACCCUG